UACGUAGGGUGCAAGCGUUGUCCGGAAUUAUUGGGCGUAAAGAGCUCGUAGGCGGUUUGUCGCGUCUGCUGUGAAAACCCGAGGCUCAACCUCGGGCCUGCAGUGGGUACGGGCAGACUAGAGUGCGGUAGGGGAGAUUGGAAUUCCUGGUGUAGCGGUGGAAUGCGCAGAUAUCAGGAGGAACACCGAUGGCGAAGGCAGAUCUCUGGGCCGUAACUGACGCUGAGGAGCGAAAGCUAGGGGGAGCAAACGGG
rnacentral:rRNA from 1 species